GUCAAGUCAUCAUGGCCCUUACGCCCAGGGCUACACACGUGCUACAAUGGCGUAUACAAAGCGUUGCAAGCUGGUAACAGCAAGCCAAUCGCAGAAAGUACGUCUCAGUUCGGAUUGAGGUCUGCAACUCGACCUCAUGAAGCUGGAAUCGCUAGUAAUCGCGCAUCAGCAAUGGCGCGGUGGAUACGUUCCCGGACCUU
rnacentral:rRNA from 1 species